rnacentral:rRNA from 1 species
CAGUAUGUGUGUUAGUGGAAGCGUCUGGAAAGGCGCGCGAUACAGGGUGACAGCCCCGUACACAAAAAUGCACAUGCUGUGAGCUCGAUGAGUAGGGCGGGACACGUGGUAUCCUGUCUGAAUAUGGGGGGACCAUCCUCCAAGGCUAAAUACUCCUGACUGACCGAUAGUGAACCAGUACCGUGAGGGAAAGGCGAAAAGAACCCCGGCGAGGGGAGUGAAAAAGAACCUGAAACCGUGUACGUACAAGCAGUGGGAGCACGCUUAGGCGUGUGACUGCGUACCUUUUGUAUAAUGGGUCAGCGACUUAUAUUCUGUAGCAAGGUUAACCGAAUAGGGGAGCCGAAGGGAAACCGAGUCUUAACUGGGCGUUAAGUUGCAGGGUAUAGACCCGAAACCCGGUGAUCUAGCCAUGGGCAGGUUGAAGGUUGGGUAACACUAACUGGAGGACCGAACCGACUAAUGUUGAAAAAUUAGCGGAUGACUUGUGGCUGGGGGUGAAAGGCCAAUCAAACCGGGAGAUAGCUGGUUCUCCCCGAAAGCUAUUUAGGUAGCGCCUCGUGAAUUCAUCUCCGGGGGUAGAGCACUGUUUCGGCAAGGGGGUCAUCCCGACUUACCAACCCGAUGCAAACUGCGAAUACCGGAGAAUGUUAUCACGGGAGACACACGGCGGGUGCUAACGUCCGUCGUGAAGAGGGAAACAACCCAGACCGCCAGCUAAGGUCCCAAAGUCAUGGUUAAGUGGGAAACGAUGUGGGAAGGCCCAGACAGCCAGGAUGUUGGCUUAGAAGCAGCCAUCAUUUAAAGAAAGCGUAAUAGCUCACUGGUCGAGUCGGCCUGCGCGGAAGAUGUAACGGGGCUAAACCAUGCACCGAAGCUGCGGCAGCGACGCUGAUGCGUUGUUGGGUAGGGGAGCGUUCUGUAAGCCUGCGAAGGUGUGCUGUGAGGCAUGCUG